CUCAAUCAAUUCUAGCAUCAAAGAUAUGAUUUUCCUAUCCACUUCUUCAGCUAUUAAGAAAUUAUACUGCAGUUCAACCAGUCUUCCCCGAGCUUGUACCUAGCCUAGCCUAGCCUGUGGAGUACUAGAAGGAAGGUUGUUGUUCAUGAGGACAAUUGUCUCUAGCCCUAGUUUAUUCCUAUCAAGCAGUAUGCCAUCCAGUUAGAUCACCAGCUAACUACCACACAACUCCCGAGUAAACCACCGGUUCUGCAGCUCAAUCGAGGCGACUCUACUGAACAAAUUUGCGCACCAAUCAAAAGAGAGGGAAACAUCAGGGUGCUGGGCGGGGCGGGCUCCUUGCCUGGAGGGAGGGCUCGGCGGAGCUGAGGCGGUCAAGGGACAGCACGACCUUGGCGACGGCCGGGUUAGGGUUAGCUUCGCUGGAGGAGGCGGAGGCGCCCUGCCAGGCCAGGGAGACGACGGGGGAGCGCUUCAUGAGCCACACGGAGCGGUCCGCCCGCCCCGUCUCCAGGUACUUCGCCUCGUCGCCUAUCCCGCCGGCUGGCCGACCGCCGCGGGUGGUCUCGCGAUUUGGGGGGUUCGGGAGGCCGUUCGGUGGCGGCGCUAGGGUGACCGGGAGGAGCGGCGCGUGAUCUAUCGUGGCGGAGGACCGGAAUAGACUAGUCUAGACUGGCACGUGCGGAUGGCGUGG
rnacentral:rRNA from 1 species